ACACACUCUGCAUUCUGAAAUUUAAUCGUGUGUUUGAAGAUGAGCUCAAUGAAAGUUCCAGCUCUGCUGCUCAUGGCCUACUUUCUUCUUUCUAUUUUCUUGCAUCCAUGUCUUUCUUUGGGUUUGCAGAAUACCUCUAAUCAGAUAACAGAAGCAUACAGAAACGAUGCUAAAGCGAUAGAUCAAGGAAUUGCUUAUAUGCUUAUGCUGAUAGCACUUGUACUGACGUAUCUUAUUCAUUGAAGCUGGGUUGAUUAUUUCCAGAAAAACGUAUCAGCAGUCGAUUAUAUAUCCACUUGGUUUCUUAUUCGUGAUUGGUGAAUGCAUGCUAAAUAAGCUGCAGAUUGUACUACGACUGUUGUAAAAUUAUAUUGCCAUAAUAUUUUGUUGAAAUAAUAAUAUGCUUCUGACUUUAUAUUUAA